AGAGCGAACGCUGGCGGCAGGCCUAAAACAUGCAAGUCGAACGCCGUAGCAAUACGGAGUGGCAGACGGGUGAGUAACACGUGGGAACGUACCCUUUGGUUCGGAACAACACAGGGAAACUUGUGCUAAUACCGGAUAAGCCCUUACGGGGAAAGAUUUAUCGCCGAAGGAUCGGCCCGCGUCUGAUUAGCUAGUUGGUGAGGUAACGGCUCACCAAGGCUACGAUCAGUAGCUGGUCUGAGAGGAUGAUCAGCCACACUGGGACUGAGACACGGCCCAGACUCCUACGGGAGCAGCAGUUAGG
rnacentral:rRNA from 1 species